GAUGAAAAAAGAAUUAACAUACAAAAAAAUAUUGCGACGAACUGUUAGCCUCCUCCUUUUUGUGAAGUCGGUUACUAAAAAUUUGGCCGCGAUGACUUGAGAGAUGAACAUCUGAGCUCUUUGAAACCCAACAAUCGUGCAGGUUUAGACAGGGUGCUGUUUUCUGCAGAGUUGUUUAGUGCCUGGAUCCAACAAAA